UUCAGAAACAACAAGAGAGGCAGAGUUGGGGAAAGUGACAUAGCUUGGUGGGUAAAGGGGUUUUUACUGCAUAAGUCUGACAACCUGUGUUUGACUGCUCCCCAUAACCUACUGGAGGAGAACCAGCUCCCAAAAGUUAUCCUCUGAUUUUCACCUAAGCAUCUGCAUUCUUUUACAAACCCAAAAAAUAAUUUUAAAAGACAUUUAAUGCUCUUCCAGGGACAGUGCUUAGAGGCACUCAGGAUGGUACAGCACUUGACAUACUGUCGUAGGCUUUCCUACAAUACAGCCUCUAACAAAACUAGGCUAACAACAGAACUGUUUACCUUUAUACCAAGAAGGUUGGGAAAGCACCUAAAUCCGCAUGUGGCCUGCGCCCAGGCAGACUGCGAGGGGUUCGUGCUGUGAGGCCCGAUGUCCUUCUGAGACUGUCUAAGACCAAGAAGCACGUCAGCAGGGCCUAUGGUGGGUCCAUGUGUGGCAAGCUUGUCUGUCUGUGACGGGAUCAAGUGGGCCUUCCUUAUCGAGGAGCAGAAAAUCCUUGUGAAAGUGUUGAAGGUAUAAGCACAGAGUCAUAAAGCAAAAUAAAUAUGCAACUUUUAAAUAUUGCAUACCUAAUCUUAGCACUCCACACUGUACAUUUCAAUUUGGGGGUAAAUUUUUCAUUCAAAAACAUAUGAUUGAGCCUUAGGCAUGUAGGCCUUAGUAGUAAUCAGAUGUAUGAAACUUUCCCAGCAUUGCACACAUUUAAUGCUAUCAGUACAUGUCUAUAAUUCAGAAUGCUUCCUUAAAACAAAACCAUGUAAUAAGUGUAAAUGAGAGAAGACCCUUUUGAAAACAGUACAGGAGAUCUCAAUAAGUGAUUUUUAAAAAUUGAUUUUCCUUUUGUAAAACUGUUGUGGUAUUAUGAUGAUAAGGCACCAAAUCUCAUGCUUG